rnacentral:rRNA from 1 species
GACGAACGCUGGCGGCGUGCUUAACACAUGCAAGUCGAACGAAGAGAGAUGGAAGCUUGCUUCUAUCAAUCUUAGUGGCGAACGGGUGAGUAACGCGUAAUCAACCUGCCCUUCAGAGGGGGACAACAGUUGGAAACGACUGCUAAUACCGCAUACGAUCCAAUCUCGGCAUCGAGAGUGGAUGAAAGGUGGCCUCUAUUAAUAAGCUAUCACUGAAGGAGGGGAUUGCGUCUGAUUAGCUAGUUGGAGGGGUAACGGCCCACCAAGGCGAUGAUCAGUAGCCGGUCUGAGAGGAUGAACGGCCACAUUGGGACUGAGACACGGCCCAGACUCCUACGGGAGGCAGCAGUGGGGAAUCUUCCGCAAUGGACGAAAGUCUGACGGAGCAACGCCGCGUGAGUGAUGACGGCCUUCGGGUUGUAAAGCUCUGUUAAUCGGGACGAAGGUUCUUGUGCGAAUAGUGCGAG